UACGUAGAAGACUAGUGUUAUUCAUCUUUAAUAGGUUUAAAGGGUCCUAGACGGUAUAAUUAGUCUUUAACAGGAAACGGUUAUACUAGAGUUAUAUAUGAGGAGGUGAGUAUUUGUGGAGUAGAGUUGAAAUUCUUUGAUACCAUGAAGACUGGUAAAGGCGAAAGCAACCUUUUAUCUAAUAACUGACGUGAGGGACGAAGGCUCGGGUCGCGAACAGG
rnacentral:rRNA from 1 species